rnacentral:misc_RNA from 1 species
GCAAACUUGGUCAUUUAGAGGAAGUAAAAGUCGUAACAAGGUUUCCGUAGGUGAACCUGCGGAAGGAUCAUUAAAAAUGGCUUGUGUCCUUUAUCCACCUUGUGUGCAACCUAAGAAAUAGCCUACCUUGGAAAGAUUAUUUCUUUAAUCUUUCCAAAGAGGUCAUCAUCGUCAAUUAUUUUUUUCUUUUCUAUUUAUUGUCUAAUAAUAUGUAAAUUGAAAUAAAAAACAACUUUCAACAACGGAUCUCUUGGCUCUCGCAUCGAUGAAGAACGCAGC